CCAGAAGAGACCCUAACCGGUCCUCUCAACCCUGCCCAUCGUACCUUUUUGUUGUUCCCUCGGCGGUGCUUUCGAGGCCCGCCGGCGGGAAGAUCAAACAAACCCUUUGCAAACAAGCAUCUCGAAAUCCUCUGAUCGAAUACAUGAAUUGUCA
rnacentral:misc_RNA from 1 species